rnacentral:sRNA from 1 species
GCCGGGUGCGGUGGUGCACGCCUGUAAUCCCAGGGGCUCAGGAGGCCGAGUCAGGAGGAUCUCAAGUUCAAAGCCAGCCUCAGCAAUAGAGAGGCGCUUCAGUGAGAUCCUGUCUCUG